UGAGUCAGACAUUUCGAGAUCAGC
rnacentral:piRNA from 1 species